GACGAACGCUGGCGGCGUGCUUAACACAUGCAAGUCGAACGGAAAGGCCUGCUUUCCCUUGUGAAUUGCGGGUACUCGAGUGGCGAACGGGUGAGUAACACGUGAGUGAUCUGCCCCCAACUUGGGUAUAAGCCUGGGAAACUGGGUCUAAUUCCCGAUAGGACUGCAGGGUGGUGCCUGUGGUGGAGAACGAUUUUCUAGUGGUUGGGGAUGAGCUCGCGGCCUAUCAGCUUGUUGGUGGGGUAAUGGCCUACCAAGGCGGCGACGGGUAGCCGGCCUGGGAGGGUGGACGGCCACAUUGGGACUGAGAUACGGCCCAGACUCCUACGGGAGGCAGCAGUGGGGAAUAUUGCACAAUGGGCGGAAGCCUGAUGCAGCGACGCCGCGUGGGGGAUGACGGCCUUCGGGUUGUAAACUCCUUUCGACCGCGAGGAAGCCACCUGGUUGGAAGGGUGGUGACGGUAGUGGUAGAAGAAGCACCGGCUAACUACGUG
rnacentral:rRNA from 1 species